rnacentral:rRNA from 1 species
AUUGAACGCUGGCGGCAGGCCUAACACAUGCAAGUCGAGCGGAGCGGCGGACGGGUGAGUAAUGCCUAGGAAUCUGCCUGGUAGUGGGGGAUAACGUCCGGAAACGGGCGCUAAUACCGCAUACUAUCAGAUGAGCCUAGGUCGGAUUAACUAGUUGGUGGGGUAAAGGCCUACCAAGGCGACGAUCCAUAACUGGUCUGAGAGGAUGAUCAGUCAACCGGAAAAGGAGACAAGGUCCUGACUCCUACGUAGGGAAGCAGUGGGGAAUAUUGGACAAUGGGCGAAAGCCUAGUCCAGCCAUGCCGCGUGUGUGAAGAAGGUCUUCGGAUUGUAAAGCACUUUAAGUUGGGAGGCGUUACCAACAGAAUAAACACCGGCUAACUUCGUGCCAGCCGCCGCGGUAAUAC